AUGGCGUUCUGUGCCAUCCUCGUUGUCCCCAGCCUCUGCAGGAUGCCCUCCCUACCCACCUCUCCCUGGGCCUUCCCUGUCCACUGGGCUGGGCUCAUGUUCAAACCACUGGACUGGCAGGGCAACGGCUUCUCCCCACCUCAAGCACAGAUCAGCCACAGCCUGGUACCUGCAGCCCCACUUUGCUCACCCUUCCCCUCCCCUCCUUCCUUCCACACAGCAAGCCCACCUUUCUCCAUGCACGCUCACCAUAGCCCCCUUCCUUGUGACCUGAGCCCUCCGUUGUACCUGGCUGAGACUGUCAGCCUCCUGGAGGAGUCCACCUUCUUCCCCUAUGCAGUGCAAGCUCACUUCUCACCCAGCAAGGUGGACUCACCUGCCCCCAUGUCUCUGGGGCUUUGCUGUUGCCCUGAAACCUAGCUGGGCUGGUCUUGCUCCCAGCUUGCUUCCCCCUUCUCGGAUGUCCCUUUGCAGGCCCGUCGUUCCUCAGGCACCAGUGUCCUUGUCUGCCACGGCGAGCUCAUCAGGGGCUUGUACCCUGGUCACCAAGCAUGGUAGCAGCUGCCUGCGUUGGGUCUCCAUCUGGUCACUGCAGGAGCCAACCCUUUAUCUCCCAUAUUUUCUUGGGCCAUGGAGGGCUGACCUCCAUUUUGGUGAAUGUGGCUGAGCUGUGGUAACCAGCUAUACCCCAGGUGCGCUUCCCAUGGUUGGUGGUACCCGCCCACCUUGCUGAUGUGAGCUGGAAAAUUAGGCUGUAUCUCAGACUGGCCUUCGCUGGAGAGGUGCUUUGCUGUCUCUGAGACUCAGUCACUGUGUUCCCUCCCCACCUGUCUCCACAGCUGUUUGCAACCCUCCCAGGUUGUUUGGGGUCUGGGCUGGACUUCCUUUGUGGUUUGCUUUUCUGCUUCUCACUCUUGUUGUAUUAAGAAGGAUUCCACAAAGGGAGAGUGGCAACCCUGCUGCUGCUGUGCCCGACCCUAACCCUCCAGCUCAGCCCUGUGCACCUGACCCUGUAAAUGAGCAGGGUUUGUGACUACACUCCCUGACACCAGUAAAACCAAAAGGAAUCUUGGGGGCUCAGUAUGAGAGCCAGGGUUACCCACUCUGCCAAGUAAGGACAAACUGCUAGGCUGUAUCCCAUAAUUUCAGGAUGAGAAACAUUAACAAUAAAAAUUUGUAGUACACAUAACCUCAUGAAGAACUAA